rnacentral:lncRNA from 1 species
GCAGCAUUCACUAGAAAAAUAAAAUUUUAAUAGAUAUAUGUCAAAGUUACUAUAUAGUAUUAAACAACAAUAUGUGAACCAUUAACAGUCUUCUAAUGAGGAUGGAUUAAAAGUAAAGCAAAGAGGUCACAAGUCUCAAGUAUAAAUCAAGCAGAGGUGGGCAAAUCAUACAAACCGGAAUGCCAGCCACCUACAGAAUAAUAAGUAACAGUGGUGGAUUAGGAGAAUUUAAAAGAUGUGAUCAUCGUCUUCAUGUUUUACAAAUUCUAAAGGAUUUGAGAAUGCUGAGGUCUAUAAAUAAAAUCCCUUGCAUUAAGCCUGCAUAUAUGACUUCUAACUGGAUUCUUCCUAUUCACUGUGUUCCAGCAGGUCAAACAUGUAAUGUCAGGAAAAAGAAUCCCAAUAAUGGUGAAGAGGUGCAGUUAAAUGGAGCAAACUGAAAAUGAUUUUUUUUGCAAUGUGUAGAUUUUCAGAGGAGAAAUUAAAGAUGCACCGUGCUUACUCCAAGCAGGAAAACAAACAGGGAGCUUACAUGGUUUGAGCCAAAUUCUUUUGGAACAUCAAACCUGAAACUCUUUAUAUUCUGGAGAGGGGAUGACACUGAAUAUACCUUGACAGUCUGUCUGGUAAAUGUGAAUGUCAUUUAGUAGUCUCUUUCCCAAUAAGUGGCAUGCUAACAUCUCAAUAAAAUAAGAAUGCAGUCCAGAAGUCAAUCAUCCCAUGCCUUCUCAGAUUCCAAGGAAAUUGUCUCAUCUGUAAGAGCGUGGAAAAAAUUGCUCUCCUUCUUAAUAAAUGGAAAUAUUAAAGCAUCAAGU